GACGAACGCUGGCGGCGUGCUUAACACAUGCAAGUCGAACGGAAAGGCCCUGCUUUUGUGUGGUGCUCGAGUGGCGAACGGGUGAGUAACACGUGAGUAACCUGCCCUUGACUUUGGGAUAACUUCAGGAAACUGGGGCUAAUACCGGAUAGGAGCUCCUGCUGCAUGGUGGGGGUUGGAAAGUUUCGGCGGUUGGGGUUGGACUCGCGGCUUAUCAGCUUGUUGGUGGGGUAGUGGCUUACCAAGGCUUUGACGGGUAGCCGGCCUGAGAGGGUGACCGGCGACAUUGGGACUGAGAUACGGCCCAGAGUACUACGGGAGGCAGCAGUGGGGAAUAUUGCACAAUGGGCGGAAGCCUGAUGCAGAAACGCCGCGUGCGGGAUGACGGCCUUCGGGUUGUAAACCGCUUUAGCCUGUGACGAAGCGUGAGUGACGGUAAUGGGUAAAGAAGCACCGGCUAACUACGUG
rnacentral:rRNA from 1 species